rnacentral:rRNA from 2 species
CACUGGUCGAGUCGGCCUGCGCGGAAGAUGUAACGGGGCUAAACCAUGCACCGAAGCUGCGGCAGCGAACGUAUCACUUAAAGCGAUUCAGCGGGUUACGAUUGACGGAGCGAAGCGACGUCAAAGCGUAUACAAAGUCGAGUCGGUUUAAGGAUACGUUCGUUGGGUAGGGGAGCGUUCUGUAAGCCCGUGAAGGUGGCCUGUGAGGGUUGCUGGAGGUAUCAGAAGUGCGAAUGCUGACAUAAGUAACGAUAAAGCGGGUGAAAAGCCCGCUCG